rnacentral:tRNA from 1 species
GCGGAAGUAGCUCAGUUGGUAGAGCACCAGUUUGUGGCUCUGGUGGUCGCCGGUUCGAUCCCGGUCUUUCGCCCCA